rnacentral:rRNA from 1 species
GGCCUAUUGAUAAUAAUUUUAGGUCUGGCCUGCCCACUGAGCGAUUAAAUGGCCGCGGUAUAUUGACCGUGCAAAGGUAGCAUAAUCACUAGUUUUUUAAUUGGAAGCUUGAAUGAAAGGUUUGAUGAGAAGAAGACUGUCUCUGUAAAAAUUUAUUAGAAUUUUAUUUUUAAGUUAAAAAGCUUAAAUGUGUAUAGAAGACGAGAAGACCCUAUAGAGUUUUAUAAAUUUUUGAAAAGUUAAGUUUUUAGGCUAAAAAUUUGUUUUUUAAAUAUUUAUUUUGUUGGGGUGACAGAAAAAUUAAGUUAACUUUUUUUAGUACAGAAACAUUGAUUUUUAUAAGAAAAAAUUACCUUAGGGAUAACAGCGUAAUUUUUUUUAGAGCCCUGAUCGAAAAAAAAGAUUGCGACCUCGAUGUUGGAUUAAAAUAAAUUAUUGGUGUAGAAGCUAAUAAAUUAGGUCUGUUCGACCUUUAAAAUUUUACAUGAUCUGAGUUUAAACCGGCGUGAG